AUUGAACGCUGGCGGCAUGCCUUACACAUGCAAGUCGAACGGUAACAGGUCUUCGGAUGCUGACGAGUGGCGAACGGGUGAGUAAUGCAUCGGAACGUGCCCAGUAGUGGGGGAUAGCCCGGCGAAAGCCGGAUUAAUACCGCAUACGACCUGAGGGUGAAAGGGGGGGAGCGCAAGACCUCUCGCUAUUGGAGCGGCCGAUGUCAGAUUAGCUAGUUGGUGGGGUAAAGGCCUACCAAGGCAACGAUCUGUAGUUGGUCUGAGAGGACGACCAGCCACACUGGGACUGAGACACGGCCCAGACUCCUACGGGAGGCAGCGGUGGGGAAUUUUGGACAAUGGGCGCAAGCCUGAUCCAGCGAUGCCGCGUGCAGGAAGAAGGCCUUCGGGUUGUAAACUGCUUUUGUCAGGGAAGAAAUCUUCUGGGUUAAUACCUCGGGAGGAUGACGGUACCUGAAGAAUAAGCACCGGCUAACUACGUGCCAGCCGCCGCGGUAAGAC
rnacentral:rRNA from 1 species